GACAGAGGUGCCGAGCGUUAGGCGGAAUCACUGGGCUUAAAGCGUGUGUAGGCGGACUUCUAAGUACCUUGUGAAAUCCCACGGCUCAACCGUGGAACUGCUUGGUAUACUGGUUGUCUUGAGCCACUUAGGGGCAGUCGGAACAGACGGUGGAGCGGUGAAAUGCGUAGAUAUCGUUUGGAACGCCAAUGGUGAAAACAGGUCGCUGGGAGUGUGCUGACGCUGAGACACGAAAGCCAGGGGAGCGAACGGG
rnacentral:rRNA from 1 species